AUGUGCCAUGGAGUCUAUGAAUCAAAGGUUUCUGAAGCAAGUAGACAGCGGAACAAGACCACAGCCAGGACUAACUACGGGGCUAAAAUUAGGUUGAAGAAGGAAAAGGAUGGAACACAUGUCGUAAAAGAGAUAAUCUGGGAAUACAACCACAGGCUACAGCUCACCACAGAAAUGCUUGUCUUUUUGCACUCCCUCAAAAACUUUGACAAGACAAUCUUGGAGUACAUCAAGUACCUGCAGUUCAAAGGCAUUGAACACACACAAAUCAUGAGCAUAAUGGGCGGAGAUGAUCCUGGUAGCUACUUCCUCAAAAUGAAUGCCAAAGACCUAAUUAACAUCAAAGCAAAGAAUUCAAGGAUGGAUGAUGUGUACGAUAUCAUGAAGACUGUCAACUUCUUUAGGGAGAUGAAAGCAAUAAGCAGGGAAUUCUUCUACGACAUACAACUUGACGCGGGCUGCCGAGGGGCAUACCAAGACUUUGGUGACUGCGUGACGUUUGGCACCACGUAUAAGACCAACAAAUACCAUAUGCCGCUUAGAGUGUUUGUGGGUACUAACAACCACUUUCAGACUACAAUCAUUGCUUUCGCCCUGAUUAGAGAUGAUGAUGUAGAUUCAUUCAGAUGGCUUUUCAAAACAUUUUUAAAAUGCAUGAGAGGGAAGGCUCCUACAUGCAUCCUCACAGAUUAGUGCCCGGCAAUGGCUUUGGCGAUCCCAUAUGUUUUCAAGAGCACAAUACAUAAGCUAUGCCGCUGGCACAUUAUGAAGAAGUACAGGGAACACCUCACAUACCUGUACGACCUCCACAAAACCUUUAAGGAUGAAUUCACAACAAUCCUCAACUGGCCCCUCAUGCCAACUGAGUUUGAGACUGCCUGGAAAUAUCUCAUGGAUAGGUACAACCUCCAUGAUGAUGCCACUAUGGUGGCAAUGUGGAACGAGCGCGAGAAAUGGAUAUCAACUUACUUCAAAGAAAUUUUCUAUGCCAGAAUGACAUCGACACAACGGAGUGAGAGCAUGAACUAUGUGCUAAAGAAGAACUACGUAUGUGAGAGACAAAACCUGCACCGGUUUGUUAGCCAGGUAAACAUCUACGUCAAAAAUAGGAGGCAGGCAAAAAACAAGGAGACAAUGAGUAACCGGGUAUAG
rnacentral:rRNA from 1 species